rnacentral:lncRNA from 1 species
GCUAUGUCACUUUCCUCCAACCCUUCACUGGCCUCCCAUGAACUUAAAAACCAGUUAGCUCUCAGGCUGGGACGCAGCUCAGUUGGUAGAGAGCUUGUCUUGCAUGCACAAGGCCCUGUGUUCAAUUCCCAGCACCUCCAAAAUAAAAAUAAAAGAUGAAACCCUGUUAGCUCUCCACAGCCAUAAAGCUUUGCAACUCCCUCCAUCCUGCUCUCCUCCAUUCUCACAGUGCUCCAACCAUGCGGGUCUUGCCUCUUCCUCAAGCUGGUCAAGUUCCCACUUCAGAGGCUUUGAACUCUUGUCUCGUUUCCCUUUCCCAGACCUUCACACGGCUAGUGACCCAAGUGGCCAUAUUCUGCGAGAGUGGCUGAAUCACCCAGGGCUGGCUUUUUCCACGGUGCGUCUGGAGGUGGCAGCUGCAGAUGCUGGUCCAGGGCCUGCAUCUCCCGAAUCUCCUCUUUCCCCAGAGAAGGACCAGUGGGACCAGGAAGGGGCUACUUGAUGAUGUGUCCUCCCUCUCAGGAAGUGACAGCUUCCCCGGCACACACGGCAUCCCAGUCGACUCUCAUCCCAGUCGACAUCUCUUUGGCCAGAACUAUGUACCUGCCCCUCUGAAAACAAGGCUGAGAAACUGAGUAUUCAGGCAGCCUCAGGGCUCCACAUGGCUGCCCAUCACCGUCUGAGAGUCCUCUCCUAGGGCCUGACUGAAGCAGCCUCCCCAACAUUAUCGUGAUUUAAUUUGUGGUGCUGGGGAUCAAAUCCAGGGCAUCGAGCAUGCUAAGCAAGCUCUCUACCACUGAGCCAAUUCCACAGCCCUCUCCCAGACAAUUUUAAAUUUUUAAUUAAAAGAUUUAUUCCCCCCAGCCAUUUUCCAUCACACGACCCUGUCUCAUAUUAUCUCGUUUAUUUUAUUUUCACUGUGUGGGCGCCAAGCAUGUGGACCCCGGUGAGCAGGCCUCAUCAGUCCUGUUGUGGGCUGGUACCUACAAGCCUCUGGCAUCUGUCAGCUUGUGUUUGCUGAAUAACUACGUGGCUAGAUGGGUGGGCGAACAGGCAGUUGGAAGACUGACUUCUUGAUCUAUGCAGUGGUGUGGAAACAGGAUGCAUACUCUAGACAUGGUUAGGAGGAACUGAGGGAACCUGUGAUUUGAAUAAGGAAGGUAGAGAUUCUAGAAUGACUUCCGAGAGGUUUCUUGUUUGGGCAAGUGAUGAUGGGACCAUUCAUUAAUACAGAAGGGAAGGAGGUAGGAACAUGGGAAAUGAGGGAAUGAAUUCAGACCAAAGGGUCUCCACUGCGUGUGCAGCUGCCCACGGGUGAUGUUAAUACUCAUGGCUCUGGCAGGAAGGCGGAGGACGCGGUGGGCUCAGUAGCAAUUGUAACAGGAGGAUGUGGAAGUGGACGCGUUGCCAUGCAGACAGCUUUAUGGGAGCACGGCUGUGAGGGCAAGAUGGAGGGGCAGCAGUCGCUGAGGGGAAGCAGGUCAAGGGUGGGCUCUUGUAAGGGGAGAUGCUGGAGUCUCCAGUGAUCUGAUGUCAUCAUCUGAUCUAUUUUACUUUUAGGUUUUAAAAGUUAGGAUUUUCUUGGAGUUGUUGCUCAGAUGGGAUCUGAAACCCAGAGCUCCGAGAGAUUAUCGGGGGCUCCAGGUAGGCCCAGCUUUUUCCACCAAGCUAUGUCAGGGCCUUGUGAUAGACCCAACCUGAUCUUUUCUUAAAAUUGGGAGCCAUCUCGCCACAAAGCCAUGAAAAGCUAAUUUCGGCUUUACUAUAAAUUACUGCAAAUUCUGAACCUGCUUGGAAUGCCUGCCCGUGCCUGGAACUCACCCAUGCCUGGCUCUCUGACCAGAUAGCAGCCCUCUCUCAAACUUUAGUGAGGCCUCAUCAAUCUUGGCCUUCCCUGUCAGAUAACGACCCUCUCUGAGGCUUUAAUGACCUUUAUAAAUUCAGAUGUCGGGGCCAGCAAAAAUGUAAACUACAAAAAUGUAACAGUAGCAUUAGUGUGAUGCUCGGCAGAGUUCUGUUACCUGUAACCCCCCUUUGUGUAACUUCCUGCGCUUAGCUGGGCUACAAGAAAGCUUCGGGGCUGUCUUUGGCUCUCGCAGUUUUUGUUGGGAGAGGCAGCCCGGCC